UACGUAGGUGGCAAGCGUUAUCCGGAUUUACUGGGUGUAAAGGGCGUGUAGGCGGGAGUGCAAGUCAGAUGUGAAAACUAUGGGCUCAACCCAUAGCCUGCAUUUGAAACUGUACUUCUCGAGUGCUGGAGAGGCAAUCGGAAUUCCGUGUGUAGCGGUGAAAUGCGUAGAUAUACGGAGGAACACCAGUGGCGAAGGCGGAUUGCUGGACAGUAACUGACGCUGAGGCGCGAAAGCGUGGGGAGCAAACAGG
rnacentral:rRNA from 1 species